rfam:Ktedonobacter sp. 13_1_20CM_3_54_15 13_1_20cm_3_scaffold_452, whole genome shotgun sequence.
ACAAUAACUUUGAAGAGGACGAGUAAACGCCGUGGACGGCUACAGAGAAUUGACGAUGAUGAGAAGUCAGUGCCGAGCCAGCGUUGAAUAUGACCUCCGAGUUGCAGGUUGAACUUCCAGGAGGAGAUAGGCUGAGCCGGUUGGACCCGUUACAUUCCAGAGUGUUGGAGAACGUAUAUGCUCAACGACACUCACCAAGGCUGAUACUGUGAGGUAUCAGCAAAUCAGGGUGGUACCGCGAAACUAUUUGCUCCUCGCCCCUGCC